CCUUAAUUGCCGCAGGGCGGGCGUGCGAAGGGGCAAACCCAGCGAGUGCAUGUAGCUACCCGCUACGUUUUCUUGAGAGGUGUCCUUGAACUCAGAGAGAGAGAGAGAGCUCUUAAUCCUGAGCCCUAGGAUUAAAGGUGUGUACCACCACCUCCCAGCUUCUGCCUGCUGUGACUAAAGGAGAAAGAAGGCAUCCAACUAAGGAAAUAGAAGACCAAUGAACAAAUGAGACAGAAGAAAAAGGAUGAAUCAUCCAGAGAAAAAGUCCCAGGAAAAAGACAUCAUUUUGGUGUCAGAAGUUCCAGAACCCGGAUCCAUGUGCCCAGAAAGCAGCUGCUCCUGGGCCCCACCAGGCACACGUGGACUCUCCUUUCGCUAAGUUCCCCACCACUAUGUUUGGCAAGGCACGAUUCCUGCUGCCGGGAACCAGCACCUUCUACCUGCUGGUAAGGUUAAGUGGUAUUCCGAGAUUUCUCUCACAGCAACGUGCUCUGCACUGGCAGCCUAAUGACUUUGGCCACGUGCUCUUUCACUGGUGGCCUGCUGAUUUCGGCCUGAAUAAAACUCCACUGGUAACA